AUGAUGAUCACGGUGUUCCGGAAGUCCACCGUCCUGCCUUGCCCGUCGGUCAGCCGGCCGUCGUCCAGCACCUGGAGGAGCGUGUUGAACACCGCCACGUGCGCCUUCUCCACCUCGUCGAACAGGAUCACGCUGUACGGCCGCCUCCUCACCUGCUCCGUCAGCUGCCCGCCCUCCUCGUGCCCGACAUAG
rnacentral:rRNA from 1 species